rnacentral:lncRNA from 1 species
AAAGGGGAUGCUUCAUAUCCUGGAUGGUCCAGACCAGGGUGGUGUGCAGUUUCACCAUGCCACUUGGAAUGGCAUGUAGUUUAAAAGUUAUGAACUGUUUCUUUAAGACAUUUUCCCCAAAUGUUUCCAUACUGCCCUUGACCACAGGACAACUGAAACCACAGACAGGGAAAUAACAGGUAAGGAGAACUGAUGCUGAACCUCGAGUUUCAGCUUAUUUUUCUUUUUCAGUCUGGUGUCGUUCUCCCCACCCCCACCCCCGUUAUUCAGACUGAGUAACUUCCCUCAGUCUGUCUUCAAGUUUAAAGAUUCCGGUCACCCAUAUGAGGUUUUGAGAACAACUGAAAUCAGGAAUCUGGCUUUCCACAAGUGUCAAUGGCUGGCUCUUUUCCUCUUGUUCGUAUUCAUGCAGAAGAAAAAAGCAGGAUGUUGGAGGAGGAUUUGUUGACUGACAAUGGUCACUACAGGACAGAGCAGGACUGCAGAUAGUAGACAGCUUUCUCCCAAGCAGCAACUGUUGAGCAUUGCCAAGCAGCUGGGAAUGAUGGCAGAACUGACUUUGGUUAGAUGGCCUUGAGGACCUCAAGGGUGCUGACACAGCCCUACUUACCUACUCCCCACAUCUCUGUGGGGUCCCUUAAAUGCUGGUAUCCCCUUUCCUUUGUGUUAGGAUCCUAGGACCUUUAUGCAUGGACUUCCAUUUCUAUGAGAUUUUGAGAAAACAGCAGAAAAGCAAUGCACACAGCUAAGUCAGUUGCCAUUCAAGAAUUUGUUUCCAGCUCCCAGGUAUUGCUGGUGUUUCCCCCUUCUUUUUUGACCAUGCUUAUAAUUUCAUGUGUGUGCAAAAGCACACACUCAUCCCUCCAUAUUUUGGGGGAAUGGUUACAGGACCACUCCCCCAGAUACCCAAACCCAAGAAGGCAUAAGCCUUUUUAUAAAAUGGCAUAUAAAUUUGUGUGUGUGUGUGUGUGUGUGUGUGUGUGAACAUGCACACUCAUGUAUAUCCUCCCAUAGACUUUAAGUUAGCUCUAGACUCCUUGCAAUAUCCAAUACAAUGUAAUUACUGUGUAACUGAUUGCUGUAG